GAUGAACGCUGGCGGCGUGCCUAAUACAUGCAAGUCGAGCGAACAGACGAUGAGCUUGCUCCUCUGACGUUAGCGGCGGACGGGUGAGUAACACGUGGAUCACCUACUUAUAAUACUGGGAUAACUUCGUGAAACCGCAUCUACUACCGGCUAAUAUAUUGAACCGCAUGGUUCAAUAGUGAAUGACGGUUUUGCUGUCUCUUUUAGCUGGAUCCGCGGCGGAUUAUCUAGUUGGUAAGGUAACGGCAUACCAAGGCGACGAUGCGUAGCUGACCUGAGAGGAUGAUCAGCCACACUGGAACUGAGACACGGUCCAGACUCCUACGGGAGGCAGCAGUGGGGAAUAUUGGGCAAUGGGCGCAAGCCUGAUCCAGCAAUACCGCGUGGGUGAAGAAGGCCUUCGGGUUGUAAAACCCUUUUGUUGGGAAAGAAAAGCAGAAGGUGAAUAAACCGCUGUUCUGACGGUACCAAAAGAAUAAGCACCGGCUAACUUCGUG
rnacentral:rRNA from 1 species